rnacentral:lncRNA from 1 species
GGCGUCACGAUACAUAAAACUAUUAACUGGAACACUCCACAUAGAGAGUAUAGCUAAAAAGGCUAAUUCAACCAGGGCCUUCAUCCAAAGAAAUCUUCAGCACUGUCCCCAACAAACAAAGGCUGUAUGCUAUACAACGCUAGUAAGACCACUGCUUGAGUAUGCAUGCUCAGUCUGGGACCCGUUCACUAACCUUAACAUUCAGAAAUUAGAAAGUGUGCAAAGAAGAUCAGCCCGGUUUGUAUUGAACAACUACCAACAAACCAGCAGUGUAACAUCAAUGCUAAAAACUCUACAGUGGCAACCACUAGCCGAGAGGAGGGCCAACUGCAAAGCAGUAAUGAUGUACAGGAUAGUAAAUGGCCUCGUAGCAAUACCAACGCUAGAGCUACACUCUACAUCAUCCGUAGCAAGAGGACACACAACACGAUUUCUUGUACCUUAUGCCAGAACUUCAACCUACAGGCAUUCCUUCUUCCCAGACAGCAUAAGGAUAUGGAACAGCCUCCCACAACCUUUGGUGGACAGUACCUCACUAGAUGCUUUCAAGCAGGGGGUACUGAGCUGCAGUAUUCCUUAAUCGCACCAUCAGACUGUUUUUAACUUGCACCUGUAAAUAUUUUCUUGCACCUUUGUUGUCACACCCAGCAUGGGCAAUAGUGCGAUAAUACUCAAUUAGAGGACUGCACUGUAUUGGAAGAAGAAGAA